GUACUGCUGAAGAGUCCCAAAAUAGGACGAAACAACUGUACAGUAC
rnacentral:hammerhead_ribozyme from 1 species